rnacentral:rRNA from 1 species
UGGGGAAUAUUGGACAAUGGGGGCAACCCUGAUCCAGCAAUGCCGCGUGUGUGAAGAAGGCCUGCGGGUUGUAAAGCACUUUUGGCAGGGAUGAAAAGCACUGGAUUAAUAACCCAGUGUGUUGACCUAACCUGCAGAAGAAGCACCGGCUAACUCUGUGCCAGCAGCCGCGGUAAUACAGGGGGGUGCGAGCGUUAAUCGGAAUUACUGGGCGUAAAGGGCGCGUAGGCGGUGUGUCAAGUCAGUUGUGAAAUCUCCGAGCUUAACUCGGAACGGUCAACUGAUACUGUCACACUAGAGUACAGAAGGGGCAAUCGGAAUUCUUGGUGUAGCGGUGAAAUGCGUAGAUAUCAAGAGGAACACCUGAGGCGAAGGCGGGUUGCUGGGCUGAUACUGACGCUGAGGCGCGAAAGCUAGGGUAGCAAACGGGAUUAGAUACCCGAGUAGUCCCUGAGCGGGCUGGCAAGGCGCAU